rnacentral:rRNA from 2 species
UCCUCCAAGGCUAAAUACUCCUGACUGACCGAUAGUGAACCAGUACCGUGAGGGAAAGGCGAAAAGAACCCCGGCGAGGGGAGUGAAAAAGAACCUGAAACCGUGUACGUACAAGCAGUGGGAGCACAGGUUUACCUGUGUGACUGCGUACCUUUUGUAUAAUGGGUCAGCGACUUAUAUUCUGUAGCAAGGUUAACCGAAUAGGGGAGCCGUAGGGAAACCGAGUCUUAACCGGGCGUUAAGUUGCAGGGUAUAGACCCGAAACCCGGUGAUCUAGCCAUGGGCAGGUUGAAGGUUGGGUAACACUAACUGGAGGACCGAACCGACUAAUGUUGAAAAA